rnacentral:tRNA from 1 species
UGCGGAGUAGAGAAGUGGUCUAUCUCGCUAGCCUCAUAAGCUAGAAAUCACAGGUUCGAAUCCUGUCUUCGCAACCA